rnacentral:sRNA from 1 species
UUGAUUCAGAAGAGCUCCAUUUAUCACAGAACUGAUCCAGCACAGACAGCAGCAGUACAAGUUUACCUACAUUGCCCUGAUGAGUCUCAACUCUGUUAGGAAAGAACACACAUCUAGGAGUGUUUGUUCAAAUCCAUUCAGUACUCUGUUAAA